UGCAAGUCGAGGGGCAGCACGAUCUUCGGAUUGGUGGCGACCGGCGGCACGGGUGCGUAACGCGUAUAGAACCUACCUUUUACAGAGGGAUAGCCCAGAGAAAUUUGGAUUAAUACCUCAUAGUAUUAUAGAUUGGCAUCGAUUUAUAAUUAAACUAUUUAGUGGGUAAGAGAUGGCUAUGCGUCCUAUUAGUUAGUUGGUAAGGUAACGGCUUACCAAGACAGCGAGUAGGUACGGGGUCCUGAGGACGGGACGACCCCCACACUGGUACUGAGACACGGACCAGACUCC
rnacentral:rRNA from 1 species